rnacentral:lncRNA from 1 species
UUCACUAUUACUAUGGUUGCUAUGAAUCCUUACAAUACCCUUUGUUAUUUCUAUAUGGUGAAAGUGGAUGGCAUUGUGGUAUACAAAAGAUUUUGAAACCAAAUAAUUCUUCUAGAAAUCGUUCUUCCUGCAAAUAUGAACAACUUCCACUUGUCAUAGACAUGUCUUCCAUUGAUGAUACCUUAAUAUUGAAGAAGGAAUUUUACAAAAAGAACGAUAAAAAAAGAACACUGUUUCGUAUCGUGAAUAUUAUUGUUACAAACUUCAAAUUAGAGAUAAUGAAGAAAAUGACACUUUACAUUCUGGAAGAUUAUUCCAACAAUAUUCGGUAUAUCAAUAUAUAAAGCUCGAAACACAAAGAUUGGACUUCUUUUUACUUAACCAAGAUUUAUUCCGAACUGAAAUGUUAGCGAGACUUAUUGAUCUACAAAGACUAGGAGAAAGAGAAGUUUCAAAUAUUGGCCCAAAAACAUUCUUGUCUACUAGCUUUACAGGGGGUCCACGAGAUAUUCGACGUAGAUACAUGGACACAAUUGCAUUAGUACAACAUUUUGAAAAAUCGGAUAUCUUCUUAACACUGCCAUUUAAUCCUUCAUGGCCUAAAAUAGAACAUUUGUUGCUAACGACUGAUGAAAUACAAUAUAGACCCGAUUUAAUAAAUCGAGUAUUUAAAGAAAAAGUGGAAAAAUUAAAGUCGGAUAUUGUUAAAACAAAGAUUUUAUGGAAAAAUUGCUGCUUAUAUGUACACUAUAGAAUUUCAAAAAAGAGGUCUUCCUCAUGCUCAUUUCCUUGUUAUACUUGAGAAUGACUAUAAGUUAUUAACACCGAAGGAUUAUGACAAAAUCGUUUGUGCUGUAAUACUUGACGCCAAUACAAGUGAACAUUUACACUCUUUGGUUGUUAAACAAAUGAUGCAUGGUCCUUGCGGAAGUUUAAAUCCUAACAAUUCAUGCAUGGAAACAAAAGGAACUUGUAAAUUUAAAUACCCUAAAAAUUACGCAAAUGAAACAUCUAAAGGCAAAAAUUCAUAUCCAAUUUAUAGAAGACGAGGCACCAGAAAAUUUAUAACAGUUAGAACUCAAUAUCUUAAUUCAUGGGUCGUAUCAUACAAACCAUAUCUACUGAGUAAAUUUAACUGUCACAUAAAUGUUGAAAUCUGUGCCGAUAUUAAAGUCGUUAAAUAUAUCUACAAAUACAUUUGCAAAGGUCAUGAUAAAAUAAGUUUCAAUCUUCAAAGUAAAUAAAUUAAUACAGAAAUAGACGAAAUAAAAGAGUAUCGUACCGGUAGAUGGGUAUCACCACCAGAAGCUAUAUGGCGUAUGCUAGCCUUUCCUAUUAGUGAAAUGAAUCCAAAUGUAUAUCAGCUUCAGCUACAUCUUCAAGACCAACAAUUUAUCUCUUUCAAAACGACUGCAACAUUAAGUUCAAUUUUAAACAAUCCAGGAAAUAAAAGAACAAUGCUAACAAAAUUUUUCUCAAUGAAUUAAACAAACAGACACGCCAUAGAGCUUGAUUUACUAUACAAAAAAUUCCCACAACACUUUAUUUGGUCAAUCAGUGAUAAAAUAUGGACACAUAGGAAAUAAGGUUAUGCUAUUGGACGUAUUAUCAGUUUUCAUCCAAUUGAAGGAGAAAGAUAAUAUCUACGGUUAUGACUAAUGAAUAUAGGAAGUCCUAAAUCAUAUAAAGAACUUAGAACUAUAAAUGGUAUAUGUUGCACCAUAUUUAGAGAAUCUGCAGGAAAAAGAGGAUUGUUAGCUUCCGAUAAUAACUUAAUUGAAUGCCUAUCAGAAGCUACUGCUUACCAAAAGUCAUGUAGUUUACGUCGCUUAUUUGCUACACUAUUAGUAUAUUGUAAUCCUGCUAACCCAAAAAAUUUUGUAGGAAAAAUUUGAAAGACCCAUGUCUGAAGAUUUUACAAUUACAACAAAUAUACAAAUAACUAACAUUUGUUAUAUGGUUAUGAAAUACAUAAACAUCAUAUUACAUUCAAUGGGACGAAACAUAAAUGAGUUCAAACUCAUAUCAGAAAAUUUUACACCUUCCAUAUUUUCUUACAAAAUAACGCAAGAGUCUAAAGACAUCUAUUUAAAAAGAAACAUAGUUGUAACUGAAGAAGAUUUAUUGCUAUAUAAGAAACUAAAUAGAGAGCAACAUGUUUCUUACAAUGCCAUUCUUAAUAGAAUAUUCUCAAAUGAAUGGGGAGUUUUUUAUAUUGAUGGACCAGGAGGAACUGAAAAAAACUUUUUAUACCAAACUUUACUAGCUACUGUAAGAUUCAAAGGACUUAUUGCUUUAGCUACAAUAACUUUCGGUGUUGCAGCUUUUGUAUUCCCCGGAGGACGAACUGCUCACUCAUACUUCAAACUUCCUAUCAACAUAGGCGAAAACUAUAAUUGUAAUAUAAGUAAACAAAGUUCACUUGCUGCAUUAAUUCAAGAUACCAAGUUAAUAGUAUGGGAUGAAGUAUUAAUGGCAACGAAAAAACUUGUAGAGACUUUUGAUUGCUAAGAGAUCUUAUGAGUAUAAAUAUACCUUUUGGUAGAAACGUUAUUGUUUUUGGAGGUGAUUUUAGAUAAACGUUACCAGUUGUAAAAGUGGAGUAAAAGAAGAUUUCAUUCGUGAAUGUUUAUUGAACUCAGAUAUCUGAAAUUAUCUUGAAAGGUUUCAGUUAACAUAAAAUAUGCGUGCAUGAGAAGAUCCUACAUUCUGUGAAUAUUUAUUUAGAAUUGGGGAUGGAAAAAAAAUAAGUUAAUAACCAUAAUAAAAUUGAGAUUCCAGAAUCCUUUCUUAUUUCUUUUACAAAUGAGAAGGAGUCAUUAAACAAUUUAUUCAAAACUAUUUACCUAAACUUAAACAUGAUCAUGAUUGAUACAUCUAAUGUAACAUCACGUGUUAUCUUAACAACCAAAAAUAAUUUUGUAAAUGAAAUUAACCAAAUGUUCAUAGAUAAAUUCCCUGGUACUGCGGUAACAUUCGUCGGUAUUGAUGAAACUGUAGAGACAAAAGACCAAAGCGAGUUUGAAGAUUUCUUACAUACUUUGAAUCUUGCUGCCUGCAGGACUGCCUUCUUAUAAGUUAGUUCUAAAGCAAAAUUGCCCAGUUAUAUUACUACGCAAUUUAAAUUCUUUUGAAAUUUUAUGUAAUGGUACUCGCGUAAUUUGUAUUGAUUUCAAAACUCAUAUUAUUAGUGCUAAAAUUGCAAGUGGGAAUUUCAAAGGCAAACAUGUUUUCAUUCCCCAUAUACCCUUAUUAUCGCGACAUGUCAAAAAACUUACCAAUUCAAUUCAAGAGAACACAAUUUUCCAUUCAAUUAUGUUUUGCUAUGACUAUAAACAAAGCUCAAGGUCAAACACUAGAUUUUGUUGAAAUUUAUUUACGUGAAUCUGUAUUUUCACAUGAUCAACUUUAUGUUGCUUUAUCAAGAGCAAAAUGCUCAAACUGUGUAAAAAUGAUAAUACGACCAGCAACAACAGAUGAUUCCAAUGAUCAUUCUACUUACAAUAUAGUAAUUAGUGAAAUUAUUUACAAAACAUUCUCUUAAAAAUAAUUUUCACUGAUUCCAUGUAAAUUUCCUAUAUUUUGAUAUUUACUAUUUGCAAUUCAUCAAUCAACUCCUACUCUGCUCCUACAAUCUCAAAGAUCUUUAUCUUGUACAGGUAAUCGACUUUAGAGCUACAAAUCUAUUCGAACUUGGCAGCACCUCUUCACAAACACACCUUGUGAGUACCUUUGGUUACAUGUGUUCAAAGUAAGAAUCUAAUUGUAGCUAACAUUAUGUGAUAUUUUAUAGUUGCAUUUUAAAAGUUUUCAACGCUAUGAUAAUAUCUACAAUGCUUUUAUUUCCUAAAUUUUUUAUUGGUUUUAGCAAUCAUAUUCAAAAUCACUCUACAAUACAUUCGUUUCUCUAAAGCUAGCUCAAAUACAGCAAACACAAAUAAAAAAUAUGUCCUUAUGUGCAUCAGCGUGUAUGUCAAAAUGAAUAAUGAAUAUAGCGUCUUUUAUCUUCCCUUUCAAUGAAUGAUCUUAAGCUACUGCCUGAGUCUUUGUUAGCUCAAACUUAUCUGCUGGGUUACUACUUAAUUAUCAGAGUUUCUUUAUUUUUUGUUUCUGCACAUCCAGGCAAUACCUGAAAAUAUAUACAGGCUGUGUAGCUUUAUAUUGUUUGACACUAAUGAAUCAAUCACCAUUUUCAUAAAAAAGAAGACACCAUAUGGCGACCUCAAGACCACUUUGUACAUAUAACUAUCUUUGAAAUAGAUCCUCCAAUAUCCUUAUGCCUUGAUUGACACAUAUAAUGCUGAGAAGUUUGAAUCCUUGGCCAAAGCAUUUAGGCGUGUAUUAUUAUAUAAACAGUAUAAUAGACUUUGCAUUGUAACUUAGGAUGUCUAAAAUUUAUACAUUACUAAUAUAAGAAUAUUUAUGUUUGCUUAGGGAGGACAAAAAAACAUGCCAACAAAACAAUCCUUUUUAUCUUGCGAUUCUUUUACUCCGUGUUAGCCUUGGAGGGGGUUAGGGAAAAGAGUACAAGUAGAAUACUACUUAAAAAGGUGCUAGAUACUAUAAUGGUAUAUUUUAAAACCAUAUUUUUAUAAGAAUGUGAAAAGGAGAUUUAAAGUUCAAAGUUGUGGCACAAAUAAAUUGAUCCAAACAUUGUAUUAUUCUUUUUAACUGAAGAAUGAAUUGGUCGAGAAGUUGGAUAUAUGUUUAGAUAUGUUUUUCCUAUGAUGAGAUUGUUGUACAUAAGUUCACAAACAUGCCCAGUUAAUUAGAGUAAUAGUUUCUGCCUCUUUUGCUUUCUUAUUCAUCUUCAAAUUGAUGUGUGUUAGUUUAAAUUCUUUUGUCAACUGAUACUGCAACAGAUCUAAAGAAGCAAAAGUUGUACUAAAGCAUUGUUCAAAUUCGUAAUUUGUUUAUUUCCUCUUGAGAUCUUCUGUGCGUCUUAUGAAAUGGUAUGGCUAUUUUCUAUCAAACAUAUAAGAACUUAAAGAAAUACAUGUGUGUCUGUUGUUGUUGUAAAACAAGAGGAUGCCAACUCUUUAUGCACUCUCCUACAAGAAGUGUGUUUCAUUUGAUUCAUCUAAUUCAAAAAGUUUAAAAACAAGUGUCAAGGACUAAUCUUUUACCACAUAAGCAUCUCCGUGAGAAAUAUUAAGAAAUUGACAUCAUAUAAUUCACUAACGUUCUGAUUUAGAAGACGAGCAGUCAGGUAAUAUCAACAAGAUUAAACGUAUUCUAUGACAAUUUUGGCUAAGUUAUUAUACUAGAUUCAUCUAGGACUUGCAACUUUAUAUCCCUUGACUUAAUAAAUCACCAUUGGAUUAUUGAAAAUACAUGUCGAUGAUGAUAAGUUUAGGUUCAUCUACAUAUGUAGUUUAUUGUGCCGUGAUUCAUUGUUUUAUAUGUGAGAAUAUUUGCGGGUUAACCAAGUUUCUUUUGCACGUUUUGACUUUCAUGAAAAAAGGUAAUCAAAGUCUAAACUUAUUUAUCCUUCUCCACUCAAAGGUUCCGUUAGUUUCUUUUCAAAUACUUUUAAUUCAUCAGGUAACUGUUGUUAUUGAACUUCUACAAGAAUCUGUUCUGAUUGGACUAUUAGUUUAGCUGAUCGAUUGAAUUAGUUUCAAAUUUGCAGAUUAAUCAGUUGGCAUGGCUUCAUUUGAUAUCAAGUAUAAUUUAUUAUAUUGCCUACAGAUAAAGGCCAGAAAUGGACCAUUUACUGAAAGUUUAGAGACAAGUUUUUUGUGGUGUGGGUAUAUACUAAGUUGUCAGUAUAUAAUUUGUGACGCCUCAAAAAAGAAAUUGAAUUGAGUUAACACCUUAACACGAGUGCUGUCUCACCCCUUUUUCGUUCUCCAAAAGAAUUGAUUUUAAGAAUUUAAAAGGGGUUUUAUUAUUAAAGUUAAAAAGAUGAAAAUUUGUUCCGAAAAAGGACUAUUUACAUUUUUUAUUUAGAGUUGCCACUUGGCAUAAUCCGGUGUGCCAAGUCAACAAUGGAAAAUCCUUUUCAAAACCAUUCGACUCUUUAAACUGGUUUACGAACAGAGAUUCUGGCUAAGGAAUUCUGUUGACCGAGGGGAAGGUGUUAGGCACCCCUCGAUCCCGUGGUUCGACCACAGUCGCUUGGUGGAGCGUAUCGGCUAAUUUUGACACUACAAAUGUACAAACAACACAAACACGUAAACCAAUCAAACAGACAAACAAAACAAAAACGAAUCAAAAGUACAGUGUCCAGUCCAAUUUAUACAGUCCAAAUAUAAAAAAAAUGCAAAAAUAAAUCCUAUCUAACCUACACUAAUCCUAUCUACACUCCCGCACUUUACCCAGUGCCUCGGGCCUUUAUCACAAACGUCUUCCGCCAACAUAAUAUGUUGGGACAUUUUUCGGUGUAUAAAUACAAUGUGUCUCGGGGCAUUCCCCGACUAAAUGAAUACAUCUGAAUUAAAUACUAUAAACUAGAAAGAAAUAUUCACAUGCACAUUCCAACAUUCAACCAAAAUAUCAUUUCUAAAUUUUACCUACCCAAACCUAUUGCCUAUCCAUUUCAACAUAUCAUAACUCAAUCACGUUUCAUAUCAACAAUCAAUCAAACUUAAUUCGAAUCUAACCUUUUCGUCAAUUUUCAAUUCCACCCCCAACUUUCUUUUGAUUAAUCACCAUUAAAUCAUGAUCAAAUUCAUUCCUCCAACGACCAAAGUCGAAUUACCAAACAUCAACAACAUGAAGCAAUUAUAAUCAAUAACGCACAAUCAUAACACCAAUGCACUAAAUAGAAAUAAAAUGAAAAGAGGGAGUCAAAGAAUUGGACCUCAAGUGUCAAUUUUAAUAUCUCGGAGAUAGAACCGCGCCCGAAAACCCAAUUCCGAACCUCGACGGCAAACAAAACGCCAAACUCGAUAUAGAAUUCAACCGGACAAAUUUGAAAAUCUAUAUGAACCUCAGCGAAAUCAAGAUGGUGGUCGUCUUCUGCCACGCCAGAACUAUUUCCCUGGGGUAUUACGAUUCCGAUUCCAGCAAAAUAACUCACCGAAAAAUGGUUGAAUCUACCCGUUUUCUCUCAAAUCCCUCCGUUCUUCUCUUUUUUGUUUGUUUGUUUGUUCUCGACGCGUCUCUCUCCCAAUCUCUCGCUCUUCGUUUCUCCUCUCUCUCUGUGUUACUCUCUCUCUUAUCCUCUCCAGCAGCUCAAUGUCUCCCUUUGGAUCCUUUUCUCGACUAUCUCGAUCUCCACCUCCUCUAUUCUAUUUCUCAACCCAUGUGUGUGUAGUGUAUCUGGGUCAGUGAGUGAGGGAAAUUGUGUGUGGGUGUGAGUCUUUUUCUGCCGGUGAGAGAGGAUCUGCGUAUAUAUGAUAGUGUCUAUCCCAUAUAUAUGGAGAAUUAUGAAUUGUGUGUCAAUUUGAAUAUUGUUUUAUUUUUUGGUCAGUAUCUUGUGCGUCUGUGUGCUGUGUAGUGUUGUGUGAAUAUGAUCUUUGAGUGUGUCUUGUGAGUGAAGGUUAGUGAGAAUUGUGGAGAAGAUGAUGGAUAAUGGUGCGAAGAAGAAGAAAAGGAGAAGAGAAAAAAAAUGGCGUUCCCCCCUUUUCCUAUGUGCGUCCCCUUUGUUAUAUAUAAUGGAAAAAGAAUGAGUACUACCCUUCGUGGAAGGUUCCUCUUAUUUUUGUUUUUAGUCCAUGUUUCUUUCUUUGUGGACAAGAAAAAGAGAGGGUGAGGUGUUGUUUUUUAAUUGGAGGGGUAAGGGUUAGGUGUCUUAUUUUAAUUGAAAGGGUUGUUAGGAUAUUUAAAAGAAAUAAAGUUUGUUAGGGAUUUUGUUGAGAGUUUUUUUUAUUUUUGUGGAAUGUAAUUACAUGGGUAGGGUAAGGUAAAAAUGGGUAAAAUGAUAUCGGGGAGGGACGAAAUUAUGUGUCUACAUCAUGCCCCCUUUGAAUGUAAGCACGCAGUAUUUUCAGACAAAAAAGUAAACAACGAGAUCGGAUUUUGUCCCGAUCUUUAUUCAAAGAGAGGAGUAAAAGCAAGAAGGACAAUCGAAUCUUGUUGGACACCCUAUCUACCCAAGUCAUGAGGAAGUCACAAGUAUCUAAAGGGUUAGAAGAGAAGUGGACUAUACCGAGUUGGAGAGUCGAGUGAGGUUCCAUCGAGGUUCCGGUUCGCGGCUUUGUCAUUACAUCAAAAAUAAAAAUUACAAGCUAAAAAAAAAUGAAAUUACAAAAUCCUAUCUAUAAUGGAAAAAGAAUGAGUAUUAUCCUUCCUGGAAGGUUCCUCUUAUUUUUGUUUUUAGUCCAUGUUUCUUUAUUUGUGGACAAGAAAAAAAGAGGGUGAGGUGUUGUUUUUUAAUUAGAGGGGUAAGGGUUAGGUGUCUUAUUUUAAUUGAAAGGGUUGUUAGGAUAUUUAAAAGAAAUAAAGUUUGUCAGUGAUUUUGUUGAGAGUUUUUUUUAUUUUUGUGGAAUGUAAUUACACGGGUAGGGUAAGGUAAAAAUGGGUAAAAUGAUAUCCGGGAGGGACGAAAUUACGUGUCUACAUCAUGCUCCCUUUGAAUGUAAACACGCAGUGUUUCCAGACAAAGAAGUAAACAACGAGACCAGAUUUUGUCCCGAUCUUUAUUCAAAGAGAGAAGUAAAAGCAAGAAGGACAAUCGAAUCCUGUUGGACACCCUAUCUACCCAAGUCAUGAGGAAGUCACAAGUAUCUAAAGGGUUGGAAGAGAAGUGGACUAUACCGAGUUGGAGAGUUGAGUGAGGUUCCAUCGAGGUUCCGGUUCGCGGAUUUGUCAUUACAUCAAAAAUGAAAAUUGCAAGUUAAAAAAAAAUGAAAUUACAAAAUCCUAUCUAUACAGCUUCUGUUGGCUCUUGACUCGACUUUUAUCACCCUAUUCUUCAGGCGGGCUCCUGACUUGCAAUUUCUUCAACUUCUUACUUGCCUUUCAAUUUCUUCACCCUGUUCUUCAGGUGGGCUCCUGACUAGCUAUUUCAUCACCCUAUUCUUCAGGCGGGUCCCUGAAACCCAAAAUUAAAACUAGAAAAAAAAUUAUUCCAAAUAAAAACUAUAGUAAAGUAGUAUUUCAUUUUUGAAAGCGUUGUCCCAUUUUCCAGGAGGGUCCUGAACAGAAAGUAAAGUCCCAUUUUUCAGGAGGGUCCUAAACAUAAAAUAAAAUCCCAUUUUUCAAGAGGGUCUUGAGCAGAAGGCAAAGUCCUAUUUUUCAGGAGGGUCCUGAGUAUAAGGUAGAACCCCAUUUUUUAGGAGGGUCCUGAACAGAAAGUAAAAUCUCAUUAUUUAGGAGGGUCCUAAACAGAAAGUAAAUUCUCAUUUUUCAGGAGGGUCCUGAACAGAAAGUAAAACAGAAAGUAAAAUCCCAUUUUUCAGGAGGGUCCUGAGCAGAAAGUAAAAUCCCAUUUUCCAGGAAGGUCCUGAGCAGAAAAUAAAGACUCAUUUUUCAGGAGGGUCCUGAGCAUAAAGUAAAAUCCCAUUUUUCAGGAGGGUCCUGAACAGAAAGUAAAAUCUCAUUUUUCAGGAGGGUCCUAAGCAGAAAAUAAAGUCCCAUUUUUCAGGAGGGUCCUGAGCAGAAAGUAAAAUCUCAUUUUUCAGGAGGGUCCUGAGCAGAAAAAAUAAAGUUCCAUUUUUCAGGAUGGUCCUGAACAGAAAGUAAAAUCUCAUUUUUCAAGAGGGUUUCGAACAGAAAGUAAAGUCCCAUUUUUCAGGAGGAUCCUAAACAUAAAGUAAAAUUUCAUUUUUCAAGUGGGUCCUGAGUAGAAGACAAAGUCCCAUUUUUCAGGAGGGUCCUGAGCAUAAAGUAGAACCCCUUUUUUCAGGAGGGUCCUGAACAGAAAGUAAAAUCUCAUUUUUCAGGAGGGUCAUGAACAGAAAGUAAAUUUCCAUUUUUCAGGAGGCUCCUGAACAGAAAGUAAAGUCCCAUUUUUCAGGAGGGUCCUGAAUUGAAAGUAAAAUCCCAUUUUUCAGGAGGGUCCUGAGCAGAAAGUAAAAUCCCAUUUUUCAGGAGGGUCCUGAACAGAAAGUAAAAUCUUAUUUUUCAGGAGGGUCCUGAGCGGAAAAUAAAUUUCCAUUUUUUAGGAGGGUUCUGAGCAUAAAGUAAAAUCCCAUUUUUUAGGAGGGUCCUGAACAUAAAGUAAAAUCCCAUUUUUCAGGAGGGUCCUAAACAGAAAGUAAAUUCCCAUUUUUCAGAAGGGUCCUGAACAGAAAGUAAAGUCCUAUUUUUCAGGAGGGUCCUGAGUAGAAAGUAAAAUCCCAUUUUUCAGAAGGGUCCUAAGCAGAAAAUAAAGUCCCAUUUUUCAGGAGGGUCCUGAGCAAAAAGUAAAAUCCCACGGAUGUGCAUUUCCAAUGGUAGCUGAAUUAAGUGAAGCGAAUUUGCCCCUAUUUCAACAAAGAAAAUUUGUCAGUUAAAAACUUAGUGGUGGCUUGCAGCUCUUGGCUUCUCAGGUAUUUGCCCCAGCACUCCUUCCUUUUAUCUUUGUUCCAAAUCGCUGACACUUGCCCUGUCUUACCGCAUCAUUGACCUGGACCCAGAUUGAGAGAAAUGAGUUCUGACUCGAACAAUGGGUUUCCAUUUUACCAUGCCUCUGAGGUGCACCCUUUUCCCAAAUUUGAAUGCUUCCACGAAUCCAACAGCCUGUUGGUGGAUAGACUUCCUUUACUUUGCGUUGAAUUACGAUCAUAUUUCUUUCAUGUGCUGGUCCUUGGUUUUUCCUCAUAUAAUUGGAAAGACUAGUAGUAAAUUUUGAAAUCCUUUCUCGCUUGUUUUGACACAGACUUGACUUAAAAUGUAAAGAAAUGAUGGUGACUUUUAUAUUGAUAAAUGACAUAAAAAGACAAAAAGCUUGAAUAUGUAAAUGAAAGAAAAGGGCAACGUCCCAUAUUAAAAAAAAAACCUUAUCUGAAUACGGUAACCCACUCCAAUGAGUAUGACAUGCCUUUUGGAUUACGCUGCCUGAUCUUCCUAUCUAAACUCCCCAUUUGUUGUUGAGUUCGUGCCUUUGCCGCUGAGCCUCUUCUUCAAAUCCAUUGGACUCAUACAUCACAUUCAAUUGACGACAUCUUAAAAGACUUUCGCCUACAUAUCUCUUUCUUUUCGCUUUUUACUUUUCUCUUGAACUCGCCAUCGCCUUACGGUGCCCGUGAGGGUUUUCACCAGUAAGACUCUCUUAUUUUUAUUUCUCUCCACUCACCAUCGCCUUUUGGUGCCUGCGAGGUUUUUCACCAAUAAGACUCUCUCAUUUUCAUUUCUCUCAACUCACCAUCGCCUUAUGAUGCCCACGGGGGUUUUCACCAAUAAGACUCUCAUUUUGUAUUUCUUUCUUGAUUUCUUAUGUUGAGGGAGACACGUGGUACCUCACAAUGUAUCAUCAUAUCCGUUGCAUGCUUAGCCUUAACAUUAUCAAAAAUUGAUCUGAAGGACUUUCUUUNNNNNNNNNNNNNNNNNNNNNNNNNNNNNNNNNNNNNNNNNNNNNNNNNNNNNNNNNNNNNNNNNNNNNNNNNNNNNNNNNNNNNNNNNNNNNNNNNNNNNNNNNNNNNNNNNNNNNNNNNNNNNNNNNNNNNNNNNNNNNNNNNNNNNNNNNNNNNNNNNNNNNNNNNNNNNNNNNNNNNNNNNNNNNNNNNNNNNNNNNNNNNNNNNNNNNNNNNNNNNNNNNNNNNNNNNNNNNNNNNNNNNNNNNNNNNNNNNNNNNNNNNNNNNNNNNNNNNNNNNNNNNNNNNNNNNNNNNNNNNNNNNNNNNNNNNNNNNNNNNNNNNNNUUUUGUUGACUGGGUGAAUCUUAAAUCUUUAUUUGGUUGGAUCGAGCCCAAAAUAGGGCAGCCUACGUAUCUCACUCCCGAGAGAGGAGAAUCAGGUCACACGUAGUUCCAUAAGCUUGUUCUUUGUUUUGAUUUGAUUUGAUUUUAUUUUUGAACUCUUUCUUUUAUUCUUAUUUUUUUGACAUUUAUCUUUGACUCUAUUUUGAUUCCAAAAAAGGGAUAGAAAAGAAAAAAUAAAACAAAGCUCAAACGGGUAAACAAAGAUGACACAAUGUUUGGAUAGAAGAAUAAAAUGCCUUCAUCAUAUCAAUCUUAAAAAAUGCAAGUACUAAACAUGCAAUAAAAUCAACAAAGGAUAAAAUAUCAUACAUAAUAUCUUUUGACCGCAUCAGCAUUGAUAGCCAUUUCUGCCAUUUUGCCUUCAAUAUCUGUCAAAUAUAAGGCUCCAUUGGGCAACACUUUCUUCACAACGAAGGGACCUUGCCAGUUAGNNNNNNNNNNNNNNNNNNNNNNNNNNNNNNNNNNNNNNNNNNNNNNNNNNNNNNNNNNNNNNNNNNNNNNNNNNNNNNNNNNNNNNNNNNNNNNNNNNNNNNNNNNNNNNNNNNNNNNNNNNNNNNNNNNNNNNNNNNNNNNNNNNNNNNNNNNNNNNNNNNNNNNNNNNNNNNNNNNNNNNNNNNNNNNNNNNNNNNNNNNNNNNNNNNNNNNNNNNNNNNNNNNNNNNNNNNNNNNNNNNNNNNNNNNNCCUUUUUGUUAUACGCUCGAGCCAUCCUCCUCUGAUACAACUGGCUAUGACACACAGACGUUAGCUUUUUUUCCUCAAUCAAACUCAAAUGCUCCAGUCGGGUUUUUACCCAUUCGUCAUCAUCAAUAUCAUCUUCUACAAUGACUCGAAGAGAGGGAAUUUUAACUUCUGCAGGGAUGACUGCUUCUGUCCCAUACACCAAUAAAUAUGGAGUUGCCCCUGUUGAAGUGCGAACAGUGGUGCGAUAACUUAGCAAUGCAAACAGCAACUUUUCAUGCGACUGUCUAGACCCUUGUACCAUUUUUCGCAGUAUCUUUUUUAUAUUCUUAUUGGCGGCUUCUACAGCACCAUUGGCCUUUGGGUGAUAUAGAGUAGAAUUUUGAUGUACGAUCUUAAACUGUUGACACACUUCCUGCAUCAGAUGAAUAUUGAGAUUGGCAGCAUUAUCUGUAAUGAUCAUCUUAGGAAUUCCAAACCUACAAAUAAUUUUGGCAUGAACAAAAUCUACCACAGCCUUCCUUGUCACUGACUUGAAAGUUACUGCUUCUACCCACUUUGUGAAGUAAUUAAUGGCUACCAAAAUGAAUCUAUGUCCAUUUGAUCCCUUCGGAUCAAUCGGUCCAAUCACAUCCAUUCCCCAAGCCACAAACGGCCAUGGAGCGGCCAUUGCAUGCAACUCAGUAGGAGGAGAAUGUAUCAGAUACCUGACAUUGAUGACACUUUCGAACAAAUUGAAUAGAAUCCCUUUCCAUAGUAAGCCAGUAAUAACCUGCUCGAAGAAUCUUCUUUGACAAGACAUGACCAUUCAUAUGUGACCCGCAUACUCCAGAGUGUAUUUCAACUAUGAUUGUUGUGGCUUCUCUUGCAUCUACACACCUCAAAAGUCCCAGAUCUGGGGUUCUCUUAUAUAAGAUCCCCCCACUUAAGAAAAAUCCACUAGCCACUUGGAUCCCAAAAGGUCAACACAGCCUCUAUUAAAUCUGGACGAGGGGUAACAUGCAGAAGUUCCGUAAGAUCACCUAAUAUUUUAAUCAGUUUCUGCUGAUCAACAUAGUUAAACAUUUCCCACCACUUGAUUAACUUUUUGGGCACCUUGACAACCAUCAGGACUCUAGACUUGGUGGACAAAUCCAUCCUAUAAUAACACAUAAAACGUUAUCUCAAAAAUUCGAUAGGAGUAUAAGAUUCCCAACCCUUGGGAUUUUUGACGAAGGCAUAUGUCGAUGGGACAGACCACUUCAUGACUCCAAUUUUCCGAACAGAAGUACUGAGCAAAACCAGUCAACUUGGCUAACAACUCUAGAUUACGGGGCGAGAGACCUAGGCUAAUAAUAAGACAAAGGCCAACACAAAGAUUAUCAGACCCACCGAGGGUUGCAUAUGUAUCCCAACCCGAGGGAAGGGAAUCAGGUAUGCGUAGUUCAUCCAGAUUGGACAAUUAACGAUUAACUAAUAAAUUGACCCUAACUUAAGAGACAACCAAAAACAAACGAAUAAAAACUUUUUCUUUUUGAUUUUCAACUAGACACUUCAACUAAGACUGACACCACCAAUUAUGAAGAAAAAUCUUUUUAGUAUUUUUGCUUUUGACAAACAAGUAGAAAAGGCAAACAAAACCCUCUUUUUUUUGUUGAACUUACGGUACUUUGAGAAGAUAAAUGCAAAACGUAAAAAAAUCUUUUUGAGUUUUUGGAUUGUGAAGAACAAAAGCCAUAAAGAACUCUAAAAUAAACUGCGACACUCCUUUUGAUUCAUUCUUUUCGACUCACCUUUUUUUUUUAUCUUUUUUGCUUUUUUACCUACGCACCUUACUCCUAAAAAAUGUUUUUUUUUCAAAUCAGUUCGUCAAAUGACCACGUUACCCUUAAAUAUGCAACAGUUAGCACGUAGGGAUGCUUUAGAAGUGAGUCUCUUACAAAGGGUCAUGUGGGUCCCGCUAGGUCUCAGUAUGAUGCACAUAAGCAUGACCUAAAGGCUGACCUACGUUGUGGUUCACUAACAAGGCUGUUCAGGGGAGCGUAUGGUCGAUAGUGGCUGCUUUGCUUUCCCUCUACUCUAUAACACCGAUGGCUCCCCUCCUAAAAUAAGGGUGACUCAACUAGAGGUCGUGUACAACACGUGUACUACGAACUUGUUGCAGAAAGAAGGCCUAGGGGUAUACACAUGAUGCCAGAUAUAAAAGCGGUAACAUAUAGGAUAAAUACUGUACACAAAGAACAUGAAAUUGCACAACAGUGAUAACAAUAACACAAACAAUAAUCACAAACAAUGUUUAUACACCCAUAAUGUCAAACAAAGCCGAUACGACUUCAAAAAUAAGACCGAAUUCUGAAAAGAUCCCCAGCAGAGUCGUCAGAGCUGUCACACCCCUUUUUCGUUCUCCAAAAGAAUUGAUUUUAAGAAUUUAAAAGGGUUUUUAUUAUUAAAGUGACAAAGAUGAAAAUUUGUUCCGAAAAAGGAUUAUUUAAAUUUUUUAUUUAGAGUUGCCACUUGGCAUAAUCCGGUGUGCCAAGUCACUAUUGAAAAAUUCUUUUCAAAACCAUUCGACUCUUUAAACUGGUUUACGAACAGAGAGUCCGGCUAAGAAAUUCUGUUGAUCGAGGGGAAGGUGUUAGGCACCCCUCGAUCCCGUGGUUCGACCACAGUCGCUUGGUGGAGCGUAUCAGCUAAUUUUGACACUACAAAUGUACAAAAAACACAAACACGUAAACCAAUCAAACAGACAAACAAAACAAAAACGAAUCAAAAGUACAGUGUCCAGUCCAAUUUAUAUAGUCCAAAUAUAAAAAAAUGCAAAAAUAAAUCCUAUCUAACCUACACUAAUCCUAUCUACACUCCCGCGCUUUACCCAGUGCCUCGGGCCUUUAUCACAAACGUCUUCCUCCAACAUAAUAUGUUGGGACAUUUUCCGGUGUAUAAAUACAAUGUGUCUCGGGGCAUUCCCCGACUAAAUGAAUACAUCUGAAUUAAAUACUAUAAACUAGAAAGAAAUAUUCACAUGCACAUUCCAACAUUCAACCAAAAUAUCAUUUCUAAAUUUUACCUACCCAAACCUAUAUUGCCUAUCCAUUUCAACAUAUCAUAAUUCAAUCACGUUUCAUAUCAACAAUCAAUCAAACUUAAUUCGAAUCUAACCUUUUCGUCAAUUUUCAAUUCCACCCCCAACUUUCUUUUGAUUAAUCACCAUUAAAGCAUGAUCAAAUUCAUUCCUCCAACCACCAAAGUCGAAUUACCAAACAUCAACAACAUGAAGCAAUUAUAAUCAAUAACGCAUAAUCAUAACACCAAUGCACUAAAUAGAAAUAAAAUGAAAAGAGGGAGUCAAAGAAUUGGACCUCAAGUGUCAAUUUUAAUAUCUCGGAGAUAGAACCGCGCCCGAAAACUCAAUUCCAAACCUCGACGGCAAACAAAACGCCAAACUCGAUAUAGAAUUCAACCGGACAAAUUUGAAAAUCUAUAUGAACCUCAGCGAAAUCAAGAUGGUGGUCGUCUUCUGCCACGCCAGAACUAUUUCCCUGGGGUAUUACGAUUCCGAUUCCAGCAAAAUAACUCACCGAAAAAUGGUUGAAUCUACCCGUUUUCUCUCAAAUCCCUCCGUUCUUCUCUUUUUUGUUUGUUUGUUUGUUCUCGACGCGUCUCUCUCCCAAUCUCUCGCUCUUCGUUUCUCCUCUCUCUCUGUGUUACUCUCUCUCUUAUCCUCUCCAGCAGCUCAAUGUCUCCCUUUGGAUCCUUUUCUCGACUAUCUCGAUCUCCACCUCCUCUAUUCUUUUUCUCAACCCAUGUGUGUGUAGUGUAUCUGGGUCAGUGAGUGAGGGAAAUUGUGUCUGGGUGUGAGUCUUUUUCUGCCGGUGAGAGAGGAUCUGCGUAUAUAUGAUAGUGUCAAUCCCAUAUAUAUGGAGAAUUAUGAAUUGUGUGUCAAUUUGAAUAUUGUUUUUUUUUUUUGGUCAGUAUCUUGUGCGUCUGUGUGCUGUGUAGUGUUGUGUGAAUAUGAUCUGUGAGUGUGUCUUGUGAGUGAAGGUUAGUGAGAAUUGUGGAGAAGAUGAUGGAUAAUGGUGCGAAGAAGAAGAAAAGGAGAAAGAGAAAAAAAAUGGCGUUCCCCCCUUUUCCUAUGUGCGUCCCCUUUGUUAUAUAUAAUGGAAAAAGAAUGAGUACUACCCUUCCUGGAAGGUUCCUCUUAUUUUUGUUUUUAGUCCAUGUUUCUUUCUUUGUGGACAAGAAAAAGAGAGGAUGAGGUGUUGUUUUUUAAUUGGAGGGGUAAGGGUUAGGUGUCUUAUUUUAAUUGAAAGGGUUGUUAGGAUAUUUAAAAGAAAUAAAGUUUGUUAGGGAUUUUGUUGAGAGUUUUUUUUAAUUUUUUUUAAUUUUUAUGGAAUGUAAUUACAUGGAUAGGAUAAGAUAAAAAUAGAUAAAAAGAUAUCGGGA